rnacentral:rRNA from 1 species
GAGUUGUUUCGAGAAAAGCGGAGACUGCUUCUCUGAGCGCUUUCGGGCGCGAAUUGAGGCGAGAACCGCGUUAAUCGAAACGGCUUGAACCGGGCAAAAGUCGUAACAAGGUUUCCGUAGGUGAACCUGCGGAAGGAUCAUUAU